UACGGAGGGUGCGAGCGUUGUUCGGAAUCACUGGGCGUAAAGCGCGUGUAGGCGGUCUGGCAAGACUGGAGUGAAAGCCCGGGGCUCACCACCGGAAGUGCACUGGAAACUGCCAGACUCGAGUCCCGGAGAGGAGAGUAGAAUUCCUGGUGUAGCGGUGAAAUGCGUAGAUAUCAGGAGGAAUACCGGUGGCGAAGGCGGCUGUCAGGACGGUGACUGACGCGGAGACGCGAAAGCGUGGGGAGCAAACAGG
rnacentral:rRNA from 1 species